rnacentral:rRNA from 1 species
GACGUAGGGCGCGAGCGUUGUCCGGAUUUAUUGGGCGUAAAGAGCUCGUAGGCGGCUUGUCGCGUCGUCCGUGAAAACCCGAGGCUCAACCUCGGGCCUGCAGUCGAUACGGGCAAACUAGAGUACUGCAGGGGAGACUGGAAUUCCUGGUGUAGCGGUGAAAUGCGCAGAUAUCAGGAGGAACACCGGUGGCGGAAAGGCGCCACUCUGGGCCGAAACUGAC